rnacentral:rRNA from 1 species
UGGGGAAUAUUGCACAAUGGGCGAAAGCCUGAUGCAGCAACGCCGCGUGAGUGAUGAAGGCCUUCGGGUUGUAAAGCUCUGUCUUCUGGGACGAUAAUGACGGUACCAGAGGAGGAAGCCACGGCUAACUACGUGCCAGCAGCCGCGGUAAUACGUAGGUGGCAAGCGUUGUCCGGAUUUAUUGGGUUUAAAGGGUCCGUAGGCGGGCCUGUAAGUCAGUGGUGAAAUCUCAUAGCUUAACUAUGAAACUGCCACUGAUACUGCAGGCCUUGAGUAAACUUGAAGUGGCUGGAAUAAGUAGUGUAGCGGUGAAAUGCAUAGAUAUUACUUAGAACACCGAUUGCGAAGGCAGGUCACUAAGAUUUAACUGACGCUGAUGGACGAAAGCGUGGGGAGCGAACA